CAGACCAAAGUUAAGUGCUUCUGCCUUGUUAACAUUGCAGUUAUCUGGACUGCAGCCUUUCCCACUGGGGGACCGCGCCGCCUUCUCAAAUCCAACUGCAUAAGCACAUGGCGGUUUAGUGGAGAAGGCCAACUCCAACGUGAGUGUGGGCCCUUUACAGACACAGCACGAGAGGCGAGCGGCUCCCGGAAAACCCCGAUCUGGGCCUGAUGUCCCCCACUUUUUUAUGCUUCUAUGGUCAUAACUGCCUAUGCACUCAAGAGUAUUAUAGGGUUAGGGAGCUGUGACAUCUAAUGCCAUGUUUUUAUCUCAGCAGCGAAAGCAGCCACUAUCAGUUACUAUUCCUCAAUGCUCCCUAAUUAAGAAAUGGGAAUAAUAAUCUAUUAUCUUUUUUCCAUUGGUUCUUUGAAAACCUGAAAUAAAAAGAACUCCAUCCCAAACUAACUGUAUACAAACAACAUUGUUGCAAACAUUUUAAAGGGACCUCGGAUUACUUGGGAGCACAUCCACCAACCUCUGCUGGGCACUUAACGAUAUAAGGAUAGGCACCCAUCAUCUGAGAGGUUAUGCUACACAGAGCGUCAGGCAAAUGGAAAAAAUUCUACAUGGGUCUUACAAAAAAAAAAUCACAGAAUUCCCAAAAAAGGAAAUGAGGCCUUGAAAUGAUAGGCUAUCCGCAGCUAGCCGUAUCCUGUUGGUUCCCAACACUGAUCUGAUUUUUUUUUUUAUUCUAUCAAACGACAGACAGGCAAACUGCUUUGAAGGGGAAAUCAGUGGUAGAGAGAUGGAGUAAGAGCUGAAAAGCCUAUAGCAACAUGAUAAUUGAUAGUCAUUUGUGCGCUUUAGAGUGAGCUCCCACGUGCCCUUAUUUUUUAGCGAUGCAGACAUGACGGAUCGCCAUUUUCGGAUCACCAGAGACGACAUCUUAAUGUUUGCUGUAAACGCUGCUUAUGAAAGGAGAUACGCUGUAGCCCCCCGCUCUCGCUGAGAGACAAGGAACAGACUGGCAUCCGUGACUCCUCAGCAGCCGAAGAGACUUAAAUAAGUGACUACCGCAUCCAGAUGACUGGCACAUCAGAGGGAAGCAGUAACUCAGGGAGGAUAAAGGAGAGAAAAGUAGGAGAGCGAUGUUGGUGCCAAGAAGGAACACUUUGAAGGCAAAAUCUCAGGCCCUGCGACUCCACAGAGGUGGAGCAGCGCUGGCUGAUGUCUCUAAACUGGAGAGUGAUGGAGAAGCCACUUCUAAACACUGCAGCGCUGUGACUCUAACAACCCUGGGCCUUCUACAGUUCCACCACUGGACAGUCAGCAGACAGCCCCCCAAAGGGACCUGGAACACUCCCCCAGCUUCCCAGACAGCGCUCUGCUCCUGGCAGACGGUAAGCCCGUGUUAUGUCAAUCACACCAUGCUUAUGUUUACAGUUGUGUAGCUGUUGGUGAGUGUGAUGACUGCCUGUCUUCCUCCCCGUCUGUUCCGUUAUUACCAUGUCCCCGGUGCCUACAGUAUAGCCACACUGCAGGCAUGGAUAAAUAUGGGUGGGUCUCAUUUGUACUAAAGAAAGCUUAGGGGCUGGAGAGAUGAUUCAGUGGUUAAGGACAGUUGCUGCUCUUGCAAAGAACCUGACUUUGGUUCCCAGCAGCACCUAUCUGGCAUCUUAAAACCACCUCUAUGUAAAUCCAGGUACAGGAGAGCCAAUGCCCUUUUCUGGCCUGUGAGGACACACAUAUGUAUGUGAGCACACGUAUGUGCACAUACCCAUGAAUGAAAUAUUGAAGUUACAAACACCUGCCCUUUGUACCGAAAGGUUCUGCCAUUUCUCAAAUCUUCCCAUGGAGUUGUUUUCCCAUCCAUUCACCAUGAUCCAAAGAAACAUCCAAGAAAUGAACGCUCAAAAACAAAACACAAAAUACUCUCACUGAAAAUGAGAGGCAGGUGGCACAACAGGCCAUCCACGGUUUCCCCUCCACCUUGCCUUUCUGUGACAGACAAACCAGUAUGGUCCUGGAGUUGUGUGUUUUCCUGUAUGUGUCUAGUUACUGCAAUAAAGGCUCUCACACCUUCCUGUCUGGCUCCCACACUUAGUUCUUUGUCUCCUGGAGAACCACGGCUACUCCUUUCAAGUUCUCUUUCAAAGUUAAAUAACCAUGAAGAGAAAAACAUCACUUGUGGGGAAUUUGCUCCUUUUUACUUUGCCUCUCAUUAUCCUAAUUCAGCUCUUAUUUUAUAUCACUACUACCCACCCACUAAUGACAGGGUAGGAGCAAGACUGUCUCUUCCACCUACAACACAACACAUGCAACACAAGCUGUAACCCCUUCCCAGUGUCUGGCACUCUGCAUGUGUCUGUCCCUGGGCUGCCCACUUCUAAGUGGAUGCGUUAUGGUGUGGAUGUAAGUCAUCUUCCCCUGGUGCAAGCUCAGCCUGCAAUGUUCCAAGGUAGGGAGGGCCUGGCAGGAGGCCCUUAGGUCACUGGGGCCACAUUGGGGCCACGUCCUCAGAAGUAGUGAGGGUGGCUCUCCUGAGAUCUCAAGGUUUCCCAAGAGCGAUUCCCACCCUUUUUCCUACUGCCACGUGGUCCUCACUGGAGUUGAGCUGGUGCUGACACCAGGCCCUGUAACUUUCUGAACUAUGACCUAAAUAAACCCCUUGUUUAUAAAGGUAAUGAAACAGGAUGGGAAAGCUAAUAAUGAAACCGUUAGGUGUCUGAUGAAGAUCUUGUGUAUGCUCUUAUUUACCUCCUGAUUCUAACUCCCCCACCCCAGACUUUCAUGAAUGAAGAAUCCCAUUUAAGGCAAACUGAGCAUGAAGGAAAGAUGGAUGGGCAGAGGUCAAAGGUCCCCAAUGUAAGUAAACUAUACAACUUGUCCAACCAAUACAAGGUUAUGGUUUUUGGGAAAUUCUGCCUAAUAGCCACAGAAGGUAAACACUUUCACACAAUGGAUCAGGACAACUUUGUAAUAAUGACCAAUGGUCCUUCAGACUCCACAACUGGACUAGCAUGGGACAGAUGGUAACCCAGGCUGAGAAUAAGGCAUCCUAGCAAAAGCAGCAGAUAGAAGACACGCCCUCCUGAGAGGAGGGACUUACCACAUAUGAUGUUCCCUUAAGUUACCCGCUUUUGUAGGCAAUCAGAAAGUGGCUUCUUAAACUUCAAUACUAAAGUCAGCCUUUCUUAGGUCCCUACGUGAGGGACCUUGUGUGCAGUACCAGAAGGGGCUGUGGUGGUGCAAGCUGGUCCAGCUGAUGACUAAGGACAAAACAAGAGCUCAGCUGAGACAAGCUAAAUCCACUGUGCAGAGCCCACUGCUGCUCCAGGUUGGAAGACUGAGUUUUAUAUGCUCCCCUAGGGUCAGGGCAAGCAGGAGGUAACCUGAGGGGCUGGACCUUUGUCCGUGCUCACAGUGAGGAGGCUUUAGAAAAACCAACUCUGGGUUUACUUGGUUUGUUAGAAAUGCAAACUAGUUUCUUGCAUUAGCAUAAAAUUCUCACACAGAGCUAAGGCAACCAGGUGGGGCUCACUCUAAGGUGCAUCUCCAGGUAAGUGGCUAAGCAGCAAGACCCUUAACAUAUGCUUAGUGACCAAUGCGCUAUCUGGGGGUAACGUGAUUCCCAGGCAUGUUUAUUUAUCUGGAUUCUGCCCGGUCAGAAAGAAACCCUAGGCGCCAGCAACCAUAUGGUGUGGAGGUGAAGGUCCGGAGAGGGGUAAAUACACCAUUUACCAUGAAAUGAACAGAAUGGGAGAAGUUCUUUUUCAAAGUGAAUUCUAUUUACUAUGCUAUUCUGUGCCGUCAUUAAGAUUUUUUUCCCUCUAAAAGUGCACAGUCAGUAAAGCAGUGUGUGCACCAGAAGUGUCCAUCUUAAGCAAAGAGUUUCCUACUUUUUAAAGAACUGUAAGCAGUUAGAGAUGGCAUGUUUGUGGGACAGUUGUCAGCUCCCCAUUCAGCAAAGCCAGACUACCUCACACUCCGUGGGAAACAGCAAAAAUCCCAGCACCUUUCUUCCCCUAUCAAAAUUCUCUUCGGUAUACUUAGCCCAGAGUCUACGAAGUGUCAGGUCCGCAAGAGCAAGAUGUAUAGCAGAACAGGCCGUAAGUCAGAGGUGCGUGAGUUCAGAGGGGACGAGAAUGGGGUCCUAGCGUACGUUUAGUCAUUAAUAGGAUGGAACACUGAGUGUAGACACGUGCUUUAAUAAAAACGUUCCGCUGAAACAAAUACAGAAGCAGGAACAGCUGCCAUUCUUUCCUGACACUGCUCCACUGACUUGGGGGGCACUGGUAAGAAAGAGACCAUGCUCGCAAGCUCUUAAUGUCUUACUGACCAUAAAGACCACCCAGCUGCUUUAGGAAAAACAAGCCACACAACGUUAGGGAAUUUCCCGGUGUCUUUAGCCACCACAAAGGGUUUAAUUCACUGUAACUGACAGUUGUCUUGACACUGUGCAACAGUUGGGUGAGUGUGGUUAGAUUUUCGGGUGGGAAAAUAAGAAGUGGGCCAGAUUUUUGCAUUUUGUUUGUGUGCGUGCAAGUCUGGCGGGCAGCCUCACUUCGUGAGCCUCUCCUGUGCUUCCGCUAUACUGGACUGCAGUGCAGGUCCUUGGCUCGCCUCUGGGAGCCGCAAGCACAGGUUCCAGACUAAAGAAGCAGGGAUUCCUGUGUGAUGUCAGCUUGCUCUCCAGCAGGGAUCCUUCAGGCAGCCUCCUUUGUCUUUUAGAAAGGAGAUACUAGGUAACCAAUGACAUGCCCAAAGUACCAGCGAUGUGACCUGAGCAAUAGUUAAGUUUGGCUGGAUGAUUUUACAGAAUUAGUAUGUAACAGCCAAUCUUUGGCAUGGUCAUUUUUCUAGAAUAAGAAGUAUUCUUUAUGAGUUUCCUUACUUUUAACUGUAUGCAUGUGAAUGUGUCCAAGGAGGCCAAAGAGCAGAGGUCUUGGGUCUCUCCUGGAGCUGGAGUCACAAGCAGUCACAAGUGAGCUGGCCAACAUGUGUUCUGGGGACUUAACUCCUCUGUAAGGGCUUUUAACUGCUGAGCCAUCUCUCCAGCCUCUUUAGCAGUAACGCUGUACCUUGAUGUGGAAAAGGCCAACUACAGAGUUCUGAUGAGUGGUGUGUGUGUGUGUGUGUUGUUCACAUGUGCACACAGGUCUAGCUGGUCAUGUCUGUUACCUUAUUCAUCUUCCUCCACCUUAUUUCUGGAGCCCCAGGCACCAGUUUAUUUACUGAGCCAUCUCCCUAGUCCUUGAUGCAUUGUUGCUCAUCUAUUUCACAUAAAGAUAGGAUAUAUACAUAAACUACACACACACACACACACACACACACACACACACACACAUACACGCACACAAACUACACUGAACCAAGUAUACAAGCGCUCUUAGGCUGAAUGUACCUUUAAUAAGAGUGAGCUCUGACAUCUUGUGUGAUUUCCCAGGGUAGGUUUUCCCUUUAUUCUAGAAAGACCUGUAAAGUUCAGAACAAUUUCAAGACCUUAGCUACGCUGAGUUUUAAGAUGGGGCACUAUUCAAAUGUAAUGGAUAUUGUUGGCAUUCCCUAUUACUGUGAGAAUAUACAAAAAAAUGUUACAGUCAGCCAUGCAUACAUGGAGUGUUUUUUUAUGAUCAGCUUUUAAUGCAUGACUUUUAUUAAUUAUUUUAAAAAGUAUUUAUUAACAGUCCAGAGAGAUAGCUCAGCGGUUAAGAGCACUUAUUGCCUGCUUACCCUUCCUUCCUUCUCUCCUUCCACAGGUCCCUAGUUUGAUUCCCGGCACCCGCAAGGUGGCUCGCGGCCAUCCGUCCUGCGUUCUGGCGCCCUCUUGUGGGGAAAAAGUAUUUAUUACAAGGGACCGUCCAAGCAAAUCUGACCUACUUCAAACCUGCCAGCACUCAGACUCAAGUUGCCCCAGCACACAGAAUGCUCACCUAAAGGAACUGAACGAACUACAUGGUAGGAGAAGAUACCAACUGGAGAGGACUGAGGCAUGAUGGUAAGUGAGACUCCCAUUGAAAAGUGUUUUCAGGAAAACACAGCCUUAGCUUCGAGAUCACAAAAGGUCAGGGUGAUUGCAAACACAAACGGAUUAUCUUCCUCUGGAGAAAUCCUAACAAAGUAGUUUGCACUGCUAGCCACCAAAUCCUGUGAUUAAAAUCAUCCACGAUGGCUACAUUCACUUUUUUUGUCUUGUUUCUAAUCGUGAUAGUUUUGCCCACUUGACACAGCCUACAGUUGCCUGGGAGAACGUACCAAUGUCUGUGGGCAUGUCUGGGGGGCGGCUGUAAAUGAACUGAUAUGGAAGACCCAGCACACUGUGGGUGGCACCGUUCCCUAGAGCAAGGGUUCUAAACUAUAGGAAAAGAGAGAAAUCAAACCACGCACAAACAAGCGGGCAUGAAUUCAACCAUUCUCUUCCCUGCUCUUGACUGUGGAUACGAUGCGAGCCCCUGCCGCCACCUUGGCUUUCCCACAGUGAUAGAAAGUAACCUGCAAUAUUGAGCUAAAAUAAACCCGUGGCUGCUUGCUUUCUCUAAGGGCGUUUCUAUCACAGCAAUAGAAAUGAAAGUAGAAUAUUAACUGUCUAUGGAUUAUCUUCCAUUUGCUCACCAAUUAGUCUUGUCAGGGACAUGUUAUUAUAUAGAUCCCAAAAUAAAAAUUUUUUGUUUUGUAGGAAAAAUGGGAUAUAAGCAAAAAUCAGAUACGAUUAUAGGAAAGGCAGGCAUAGCAAGGCCCCAAUGGGACAAGAUCACAAACAGCUCCAAUAUCCUCUUGGAAGGGGAAAGGAAAGAGCAGGGCACAGGCGUGGGUCCUUCAAUAGAGGACGCAGAAAUCCGGUGGCAUUUCUGGUACCUCAGAGUCUAUUCCUUAAAGUGUGGUCAUCCUCUUUGAGAUGUUGGAGGGCUGCCUGGGUGGGUGACGGGGAGAAGGGAGAAUGUGGGGGAGCCUGAAGAACAGCAGGAGAAAGAGUGGUGCUGAGAGUCCGGCCGAUUUUUCAUGGCGCCACAGAGACAGAGAAAAUGGUCUCAGCAUCCUUCCAGCAGGCACAGCCUACAGCGAAUGUAUAAGGAAGCCAAGCUGCCACUCAAGGAAGGACUGCAGCAUCAACAGACCCCAGAUUUUGUAAAGACAGGAAACAGAUUAACAAGUCAAUUCUUAGCAAGAACAGGCCUACCAGGAGUCUGGGUGUGACCUCGGCAUACAAGGCUCCAUGAGGUGUGGUGGUUUGGGUUACAGACAACACAAACAGAAUGAUGGUGGAGAAUGACUGAAGCUGAGUGUAUAUAAAAUAAAGACCACAGGAGCUGAGCUCCAGGCACUGAGGACAGCACAGUGCUGAGCUUGCAGGGGAUGUGCCCACACCCGGGAAGGCUCGUGAGGAUGGUAGCGAGGUGAGUUAAAAUAUGAUCGCAGGUCAAAGGAGUCCAUUCUACCAUGCUUGGCGAGUCAGCUCUGUACCUACAGCUGACACUCCAGCUCCUCCUGGCUGGCGUGCACGUAAAUCAUAUUUGCCAAUACAAACAGGUAAGCGUCACAGAGGAGCGAGGGGUUUGGGGGUCUGAAGAGUCACUGUGUGCUGAAGUUACAUACGUGCUGUAUACAAGAUGAUUGAUAAAACUUUAGGCA